rnacentral:lncRNA from 1 species
CUGGUCAAACUGAUCCCUAUAGUAUAUGACUAUGUGCGGCACCAGAUUAUUAGCACCAGUCAGUUAAGUCUUCCAUCUGUCCAAAACAAAGUCAAUAUGUUAUUUGUGUGAAAAUAUGUAGUCAUUUAUCAUACAAAAUCAAUGCUACUGUUUACAUACCUGUAUCUCAGAGGAUCAGUCUAGUCGUGCUAUAUGUCGUCAAAUGGACCCUUAAAACCAACAUCAUUCUCAUCUAAUA